UGGAUCCCACUGUGCUUGGCACUGUGUGAACUGUGUUACUGCGUCCUGCCACCCGAGGAAUUUGCAGUCUAAAUAGGCACGGCCAAAAAGGUGAGACAGAGGCAAACAGGAAAAACCCCAGCCAACUACUGAAAAAAUAUCCCCACGUGUUGACUUACAGGCUGACUGUUUUUUGACAGUUCCAGAAUAGGUACAGUUUAAAAUACCUGUGUUGCUAAAUAAAAACACUCUCCUCCCCCAGGCAGAUUAAACAAAAUUAACAGAAAAAGUGCCGAGGUGUGUCUGCCACAGUACCUUAACACAUUUCUCUGUGCUUCGUUGUUCUCAGUCUUUGUUCUCAAAUCGUGGAGCACACAGAUUGUGUAAUACCUCUAUUCUGGGACACCUAGGUUAGCACAGUUACUCUCAGCGGGGUGAAGGAGGAACUCUGCGGUGGCUUUAGCUGAAAGUGUUUUACUUCUUGUGGUUUGUGUCUUGACUUUCAGUAAUCUUGAGAAUUUGAGGACAUGUAUACAUUUAUCAGUCUGACAGUUUUGAAAAUGCAAGUGUUCUAAAUGUUAAUAAUCUUUUUUAUGUAUAUGUUUGAUCUGUAAUUUAUUUUGUACAAUAGAAAUAUUUUUACAGCACUUGCUAUACAAGCACCACCUUAUUCUACUGACUGUGGAUAGAAGAUAGAUGAUAGCAGCAUGUGCUUCCAAGCGAAAAAAAAGAAGGAAAAAAAAUAAACUUGCUAUUACAUUAAUAGCAUCCUGUGACAGAAUCAUAAAAAGUUUGUGCAUUGGCUCAGCACCUCUCUGCCUGGAAUGUCAAGGCUCCUGGUUUUUCCUGUGCUCUGGUGAGGAAGCCGUGGAGACACAGAAGAGCAAUUCCAGAUUCUGUGCUGCGAAUGCUUUCCUUUCUCACCGGCUGGCUACGUCCAUGCGUGCAGAGCUUUUGAUUAGAUCUGCUGUUUUGCCCAUGGCAAUCUUCCCUGCAAACGUCCUUCAUCUAUACAUCAUUUGAGCAUCUAUACAUGAUAAGAUUGCCACCUUUUAUUACACUAAAACCAGGAAUUUUCUUCUCAAUAAGCUUUGCUCCUUCCUCAGCUCUCCAACCACCCCUAAGGGAAGUGAGAAGGACAGAAAAACUUUGAAAAACCUUUCACCUCUUUGUUCUCCUUGGAAGAAUGUGGGAAGACUUUUUGUAAAAUCCAAGGUAGACAUUCAUAAAAGGGGACUUGCCUGGGUGGCAUAAAAGUGGGAAACUUGGUAAAGUAGGCACACGUAAAUACACACAAAUUACUUACCUGAUAAAUUCACAUUUUUUUUUCUCUUCAAGGAAAAUUAUAUCCAUGUAUUUCUUAGCUUACAUCUCACUUUCAGUCUUUGUUUCCCCUGCUACUUUUAACACCAGGGUCUCAGAGCAUUACAAUGCCUUUCAACAUUAAAAUCUUCCUUUUUCAGUGUGAAUAGAUUUGUACUGCAACUAGGCAAGUUCUAGUAUAUUAUAUGAGAAUGAAUAAAGAUAUUAGCGUACAGAAAAUGUGAAAAGAGAAAGGGAGUAGACAUGAAUAAGCAAAUAAGUAACUUAAUCACAUUUUCUUUUGAAUGUACAAAAUAUACUGAGGAUCAAAUCACUAAAAAAGCAUGUCUGCUGAAAAAGAAGUGGGCUUUGUAUAAAGCAGAUCACGCAUCUGUUUGUCUCUCAGUACUUUCAAUAGUCAAUGCAUGCAGUCACUUUUCUUUUACUCUACAAUUAGACUUUGGACUAGGACAGAAGUAUAUGUGAUAUACAUUUCCUUGAGAAAUACUUCUGUAUGUCAGAAAUAAACUCUUAGGCCAGGUAUGAGUUCACAAUUGUUCUCUAUAGUUUGUCAUUGAGUGCUUUACUUGCUCAAGUUUCAAAUGCUUUGUUUGGUGGGCCUUCAUCAUUCAUUCUUCAUUUGAAAAUUACCUGCUAGACUGAAUCAUGUGGUUUCUGAGAAAUUCUCUGAUACUUUGUCCAAAUUUUGUUCUUCUUUACAUUUAGCUGUACCCACUGCAUGUUAGCAUUCAAGAAAUUCCUUUCCAUUCUCUCUGUUCAUCACUCAUAUAUUUCUAGACAGUAGGUGUUUUGCCCCUAUGUCGUGGUUUAACCUGACAAGCCGCUACACACCAGACAGCCGUUCACUCACUUCCCCUGUCCCAGCAGGAUGGAGGAGACAACUUAAAAAAAAAAAAAAGAAAAAAGUCCAGCUCUAGGGUUUAGAUAAAGACAGUUUAAUAGGACAGAAAAGGAUGGGAAAAUAACAUUGUUGUUAAUAAUGGAAUUAGAAUAUGCAGGCGAUGCACAAUGUGGUUGCUCACUGCGCAUUGACCAGUUCCGGAGCAGUGGCCCCCAGCUAUGUUUCCUCCUAGUCUAUGUGCUGAGCAUGACACCAUAUGGUUCGAAAUACCCCUUUGUCCAGUUGGGGUCAGCUGUCCUGGCUGAAACCCUUCCCAACUUCUUGUGCACCCCUCUCUAUUUACUUGCUGGCAGGGCAGCAUGAGAUGGAAAAGUCUUUGACCACUGUUUGGCAACAACUGAAACAACAGUGUGUUACCAACAUGAUUGUCCUAAAUCCAAAACACAGGACUACUCCAGGUGCUGGUAAGAAAAUUAACUAUAUUCCAACUAAUACCAGGAUAACUUGUUACCUAGAUUAAUAAAUCUUGCCUAAUCAGUUUUGUUGUUCUUCUCUGAAGUACUUUUCAGCAUACUAGCAUCCUUCUGUUAUGGAGGUAUCUAGAAGUGGAUGCAGUAUUCUGCAGAAAUCUUCCCAGAUGCAUAGACAGAGACUUCCACCAGAGAGUUGACUUGAAACUGUUUUACUCUGUUUUUGCUCGUUAAUGGCUGUCAUUUUCCUGUGGAGUCAAAACCAUCGUGUCAUGGCCAGUGCUUUUGCCUAUGUGUCACCAAAUGGCCACUCCUGACAACUUCACUGCAGAAAAUCAAGUGUUCCUGAUCAGAGGAGACCAUGUUUCCUUGUUUUUAUGAAUGAGAAGCAACAGAAACAGUGCAAGAAGAAAAGAUCUAUCUAAAUACAGCAUAAUUUCCAAAAUAUUUCUGGAGUUAUUGGAAGCUCCUCGAAAGCACCCCAUGUCUUUUCCAGUAGUAGAUGGACCACAAGAGAGGCAGCCCUUAUGAAACCAACUUCCCCUAAUUUAUCCAGACUGUGGAUCUGUUAUAUCUGUUUUAUUGCUGGGCAGAAAAUGGAAAGACAGUGAGCACUCCCUUCACUUUUUUUCCCCUUCAUGCUCAAAAUCGUCUCCCACACCUCGAGUCUCCUACUGAACUUGACCUAGCAGUCAAGUUGCAAUCCCUCACCUCCAGCAAGCAGGAGGUGGCUGGGUUGCUCCUUUAGCAGUCCAUGCUGGUAACAGCGCACCGCUGCUUGCCCUGCGGGGCUUCUUACAGAGCGACUCGAGCUGCUCUGGCCUCCCUCCGACGACUCGGUUUGUCAUUUCUGUCAGUCUGUGGCACAUACACACACAUGCACAGCAGCUGCCAGUGGCCUCGGGGGCCUGGGAUCCUUUUUUCUUUGAGCUCAGCUCUCCUGCACACCACUGGCUACAUUGCAGUCUAUUACCUGCAAUAGGCUCUGACCUCUUUCUGAGCAUUUUUAAACACCCUGCUGUAGAGCGCCACUGGCACGCAGGCAGUUGCCCUGUUUGCUGGUGUUUCUCCCCUGCUUUCAAAUUACCUCUUCCAAGUCCAUUUGGUAUCAGUGGCUUGGGAUUUUGUUCUUUUUUGAAUGGCGAUGGUUGUCUUUGAUAUCAGGAUUUUAAUUUUUUUACUCUGAAGGAAACAAAGAUGCGCUUGUCCAUUUUAAGUGUA